AAAUAUGACCAAAGCGUCUCUUAUUUCGGAAUUAUGAAAAUAUUUUCCCAAGUGUAUAUUUUAAAUGCUGUAUGCGCAUUUUUCAGUUGUUUUGCUGUCGCAGUUCGAGGAAAACAUAUGCACAUGCCUACCUAUGAAUGAAUGUAAAUUUAUGAAGCCCUCGCUCAAUUCAAGUAAAAAACACUUUUCUGAACUCAAACCGUUUCCGAGUCUCGACCGGGAAACACGUAAACUAUACUGAUCCUCUAAAGAAUUGUUUAAUAUACAACAUUCAGUACGAAAACGAUUUUAUUAUAAUUUUUGUCUAUCCCUGAAGACAAUUAAAUAAAAUCAAGAAGCUUUAUGCUGGAAUGUCCUGUUUAGAGAGUGGAACUUGUUGACAUCAAACUUAAUCGCGCACUUAAUUCUAAAAUGAUAAUGAACAGCAAUUCAAACCAGGAACAAUACUUCAGAAGAAAUAUUGCAGGCAAAGUUAAUGCUGCGGCUUGCUCAAGCUAUUCCCAAAAUUUAUUUAUGGGCUAUAAGCUACAAUUAUUUUUCUGGACUGCAGUAGGCUGCUAUGUAUUAGUAUUUUUGAUUUUUCUGGCCAUAUGUAUUUCGAUAUAUGUAUAUUUUUAAAGCUAAUUAAUGCAUUUUAUAAAGUUUCCUAUGUAAACACUUUUAAAUAAAUACGCAAUGCACGAAUCCUA
rnacentral:sRNA from 1 species